GGUCGCGUGGCCCAAUGGCAAGGCGUCUGACUACGAUUCGUUAGGUUAUCAGGAGAUUGCGGGUUCGAUCCCCGUCGUGACCU
rfam:Trichosporon asahii var. asahii CBS 8904 unplaced genomic scaffold scaffold00066, whole genome shotgun sequence.